UUUAGCAUGGCCCCUGUGCAAGGAUGAUAUGCAAAUUCGUGAAGCAUUGCAUAUUUUU
rnacentral:snRNA from 1 species